rnacentral:rRNA from 1 species
CGCAUCUGUGCAUGCAGCAUAUCAAUAAGCGGAGGAAAAGAAACUAACAAGGAUUCCCUUAGUAACGGCGAGUGAAGCGGGAAGAGCUCAAAUUUGAAAUCUUCAAGGUUUUACCUUGACGAAUUGUAGUUUAAAGAAGUGUUUUCUGUUGAAGUCUUGGUAAAAGUUCUUUGGAAUAGGACAUCAUAGAGGGUGAGAAUCCCGUAUUUGACCAUUAUUUUCAGCUGUGUGAUAUACUUUCGAAGAGUCGGAUUGUUUGGGAAUGCAGUCCAAAAUGGGUGGUAAAUUUCAUCUAAAGCUAAAUAUUGGCGAGAGACCGAUAGCGAACAAGUACCGUGAGGGAAAGAUGAAAAGAACUUUGAAAAGAGAGUUAAACAGUACGUGAAAUUGUCAAAAGGGAAGCGUUUGACACCAGUGUUGUUUUCUCGAAAAUCAAUUAAAAAGAGUUUAGAUUUUGUUGUGUAUUGACCUUAACAGCUUGCAUUUCAAUUUUCUUGCUUUUUUUAAUGCACUUUUCGUUUAACAAGUCAACAUCAGUUUCUUCUGUUGUAAAAAGGUCAUUGGAAGGUGGCUUUCUUUUCGGAGAAAGUGUUUAUAGCCUUUGACUCCUGCAAUCGGAGAGACUGAGGUCUGCAGCGUAGAUCCUUCGGGGUUAGAUACAUUUGUGCUAAGCUACUAGCUUUUCAUAGACAACUUGUUGACUAUGAUUUAGUCUUGUAGCUUACUCGCUUAUGCUAUUUUACCUACGCUUAGGAUGUUGACGCGCGUGUGUGCGUG